AAGAGUGCGUAAUAGCUCACUGGUCGAGUGACUCUGCGCCGAAAAUGUACCGGGGCUAAACGUAUCACCGAAGCUGCGGACUGUUCUUCGAACAGUGGUAGGAGAGCGUUCUAAGGGCUGUGAAGCAAGACCGGAAGGACUUGUGGAGCGCUUAGAAGUGAGAAUGCCGGUAUGAGUAGCGAAAGAGGGGUGAGACUCCCCUCCACCGAAUGCCUAAGGUUUCCUGAGGAAGGCUCGUCCGCUCAGGGUUAGUCGGGACCUAAGCCGAGGCCGAAAGGCGUAGGCGAUGGAUAACAGGUUGAUAUUCCUGUACCACCUCCUC
rnacentral:rRNA from 1 species